rnacentral:lncRNA from 1 species
UAACAUUUUCUUUAAUAAUAUUUUGAUCCAACUUAAUCAAUCAUAUUUUCAAUCAUUUUGCAUAAAGUGAAUAAACAUGAAAAAAAACAUUGUAUUUCAAGUCAUUAUGAAAGCUAGAUACUCUCACCUUAUCAACCUCCAAUUUCACUACCAAGCGUACUCGCACCCGCUCCAUUAACAUAACCAAGACACCUAUUAAGAUAAUUCCACCGUUAUUAACAAUUAUGUGACCACUAAACACUUUUUUUAUACUACUUUACAAAUCAGCAUUCUAUAGUCAAAAUCCAUCAAAUCGAACCUAAAAAUCGAAUUCAGAACACUGAAAAACAUAAGAAACGACUAUUCACAUGACCAAAAAUUCAUCCGAUUGACCAAUUUUUAAAUAGGGUGCACGAUAACUUCAUAGGCUUGACCACACUAGAUAGUUUCCAAUUUUGGGCAUCCAUUGCCCCACACAAGCUUCAGCUCUUCCAUUUUCAAACUUGCACAGUCAUAUCGCAUAUUCACACACACACACACACACAUGUAAUACACAAUUCUCACACCCACUUUUAGCUAAAUUCAAUUAUUUCACAAACAUAAUUUUUGUUUAAGCAUAUAAGUCAUAAUAACCAAUUUAAUUCAAAUCAAACUAAUGGUAAGAAUGAAAACUAAUUACUGAAAUUUAACGACUCACCUUCCAAUUUUUGAUUUUUCUUUUCUUUUUUGUUCUUCGCUUCUCAUCUCUCGCUCUCUCUGGCUCGUCUCUGUUUUUCCUUUCU